rnacentral:antisense_RNA from 1 species
CACCGACAUCAUGGCUUCGUUGUGGGAGCCCCGGGCCACCGCCAGAUAGGCGUUCAUGCCCAGCUCCGCCAUUUCUUCCUCGCCGAUGACGCGGGUGCUGAUGUUGUCCCAGGCGUCCGCCAGCUGGCGCGCCUGAGACGCCAGGUAGGCGGGGUUGCACACGUUGGGCGGCAUGUUGGCCACGUCGC